rnacentral:rRNA from 1 species
GAUGAACGCUGGCGGCGUGCCUAAUACAUGCAAGUCGAGCGAACAGACGAGGAGCUUGCUCCUCUGACGUUAGCGGCGGACGGGUGAGUAACACGUGGAUAACCUACCUAUAAGACUGGGAUAACUUCGGGAAACCGGAGCUAAUACCGGAUAAUAUAUUGAACCGCAUGGUUCAAUAGUGAAAGACGGUUUUGCUGUCACUUAUAGAUGGAUCCGCGCCGCAUUAGCUAGUUGGUAAGGUAACGGCUUACCAAGGCAACGAUGCGUAGCCGACCUGAGAGGGUGAUCGGCCACCCUGGAACUGAGACACGGUCCAGACUCCUACGGGAGGCAGCAGUAGGGAAUCUUCCGCAAAGGGCGAAAGCCUGACGGAGCAACGCCGCGUGAGUGAUGAAGGUUUUCGGAUCGUAAAACUCUGUUAUUAGGGAAGAACAAAUGUGUAAGUAACUAUGCACGUCUUGACGGUACCUAAUCAGAAAGCCACGGCUAACUACGUG